rnacentral:rRNA from 1 species
GAUGAACGCUGGCGGCGUGCCUAAUACAUGCAAGUCGAGCGAACAGACGAGGAGCUUGCUCCUCUGACGUUAGCGGCGGACGGGUGAGUAACACGUGGAUAACCUACCUAUAAGACUGGGAUAACUUCGGGAAACCGGAGAUAAUACCGGAUAAUAUAUUGAACCGCAUGGUUCAAUAGUGAAAGACGGUUUUGCUGUCACUUAUAGAUGGAUCCGCGCCGCAUUAGCUAGUUGGUAAGGUAACGGCUUACCAAGGCAACGAUGCGUAGCCGACCUGAGAGGGUGAUCGGCCACACUGGAACUGAGACACGGUCCAGACUCCUACGGGAGGCAGCAGUAGGGAAUCUUCCGCAAAGGGCGAAAGCCUGACGGAGCAACGCCGCGUGAGUGAUGAAGGUCUUCGGAUCGUAAAACUCUGUUAUUAGGGAAGAACAAAUGUGUAAGUAACUAUGCACGUCUUGACGGUACCUAAUCAGAAAGCCACGGCUAACUACGUG